rnacentral:lncRNA from 1 species
AUAGGGUUUCAAUCAAUCACUCCACAAUCUCCUCCUUUUUGAUGAUGACAAAACUUUGAGUAUAUGUAAAGUGAAUUGCUCAAUAAACAAGAAAAUAAAAUUCAUAAAUGAAUUCAAAUGUCUGGUAAUUUAAUAUAUCCAAGCUUGAAAGGUGUGAAACAAUAAAUUUUGGAAUUAAAGCUCCCCCUUUCAUUUGGAAUUAUAUAAGCCUUUAUAUCAUGCAAUCAAUUGUU